UGGCUCAGGAUGAACGCUAGCUACAGGCUUAACACAUGCAAGUCGAGGGGCAGCAUUGGAGUAGCAAUACUCAGAUGGCGACCGGCGCACGGGUGAGUAACACGUAUCCAACCUGCCGCUUACUCGGGGAUAGCCUUUCGAAAGAAAGAUUAAUACCCGAUGGUAUAAAGAGUUCGCAUGUUCUCUUUAUUAAAGAAUUUCGGUAAGCGAUGGGGAUGCGUUCCAUUAGAUAGUUGGCGGGGUAACGGCCCACCAAGUCUACGAUGGAUAGGGGUUCUGAGAGGAAGGUCCCCCACAUUGGAACUGAGACACGGUCCAAACUCCUACGGGAGGCAGCAGUGAGGAAUAUUGGUCAAUGGACGAGAGUCUGAACCAGCCCAAGUAGCGUGAAGGAUGACUGCCCUAUGGGUUGUAAACUUCUUUUAUAAGGGAAUAAAGUGAGGGACGUGUCCCUUUUUGUAUGUACCUUAUGAAUAAGGAUCGGCUAACUCCGUGCCAGCCGCCGC
rnacentral:rRNA from 1 species